GGAGGGGGGGCAAGCGUUGUUCGGAAUUACUGGGCGUAAAGGGCGCGUAGGCGGUAUGCCGUGUCAGGGGGUGAAAGGCCUGGGCUCAACCCAGGAACUGCCUUUGAAACUGGCAAACUAGAGUCCGAUAGAGGAUGGCGGAAUUCCCAGUGUAGAGGUGAAAUUCGUAGAUAUUGGGAAGAACACCAGUGGCGAAGGCGGCCAUCUGGAUCGGCACUGACGCUGAGGCGCGAAAGCGUGGGGAGCAAACAGGAUUAGAUACCCUGGUAGUCCACGCCGUAAACGAUGUGUGCUAGACGUUGGGGGUCUUAGACCCUGGGUGUCGUAGCUAACGCGUUAAGCACACCGCCUGGGGAGUACGGCCGCAAGGUUA
rnacentral:rRNA from 1 species